UCCCUUUUCUCCCGUCUCUUCCCGGCCAAACCCUCCCUCCUUUAUUUUCGGUCUCUCUUCUUCCCCGAUCAGCAUCCAAAAUCUCUCCCUUUUCUCUCGUUUUCCCUCUUUCAUUGUUGUUUCCGUUUGCCGAACCCUUUAUGUUCUCCUUAUCUCUUUGUUAAAUUUGGGUUUAGUUUUCCCCUUAAUUCAUCGAUCCGUUUGUCAAUUUAAUUUCUGUUUCUUUUCCCUGUAAAAUAUAUAUUGCAUUAUAGAUCCAAAUUUAAGUCGUUUUUUUCUAAAGUCUGUCUGUGCUAUAUCAGGUUCAUGCCGUUGAGAGAACUCCUUCAAUGAGUGAGCUGAAUGAAAAUUCUUCUUUCACAGGAUGUUGAGUUUGAAUCCUAAGACACAAAGAAACAAAAUCGUGGAUCCACAUCUACAAAAAGGACCCGUGCUGCGGAGGUCCAUAACCUCUCCGAGAGGAGACGCAGAGAUCGCAUAAAUGAAAAGAUGAGGGCUUUGCAAGAACUCAUACCUCUCUGCAACAAGUCAGAUAAAGCUUCAAUGCUGGAUGAAACAAUUGAGUACUUGAAGUCGCUUCAGUUGCAAGUUCAAAUUUAGCACUUAUUGAGAGAGGUAAACAGAUCCAUACGCACAUAGUUAGAGUUGGCAGCAAAGGAUACAUGAGAAGGAUGUUGUUUCAUGGAACACAUUAUUAACCGGGUUUGCUCAAAAUGGGCAUGGAGAGGACUCGCUUAAUGUGUUCAGAAUGAUGACUGUCAAUAGGAUCACAGGGUGGAAUUCAGUUUGCCACGGCUCAACUACCUCUUCUUGAACUUAUGGAUUGUGGGAUAACAAUAUGCGAUCUUGAUUCUCAGAAUCCACCUUCUGAUCAAAAUUCUGACAGUGAAGUUCCAAAUGUAUUGAACAAUAAACUGCACCUUAUGUACCAGAAGCUUAUCAUCAAACACAGUCGACUAAAGAAACUCAGCUUGUGGGGUUGUUCUGGCUUAGA